ensembl:lncRNA
UUUUUUUUUUUUUUUAAGCCAGCAGUUCAAAAGGGUUUUAGUCUUGUUUGCUGAAUCCUACCCAGCUAGCAUAUCAGCCCUUCCACUGGGAAUGAUAGAGAUAGCAAAUCAUAAUGCAAUGGGCAUGUUUUCUGAAGCACCAUCUGAUUUGUAUAGGAAUAUCAGCAAUUCAUUCUCAAAAAGAUCACAUACCUCUGUAACAAAUGUUCAAACUGAAAAAUUGAUUGAACUGUCAGGAGACUCUGCUUUCCUAUGUGGAGUCCAUUAGCACUGCAGACCUGCCUCCUCCAUGCACUCUGCUGUCUCCAAAGGGUACGUAGAGAACUGACCUCAAUCAAAAUCAGAAAAUCUACUGUGGUUUGUUUAUGGUAGUCAUUAAUUGGGUUUUAAGACCCUCAGAGUAUUUCUUUCCUUUGGAGAAUGAGAUCAAAAGACUGCAUUCUUUCUUGGAAAUCUUCCCAUCUCUGAAGGGGGGAGUUAAUGAGAGGUCCUGAGCAUGGGUUGAGAAGGACUGGAGUGGCUGCGCAGCAGCAGAUAAGGUUGCUCUCUUAUACUGUCUAAGAGAGUAUAUACAGCUUGCAUUUUGGCACACUGUAGCUUCUGUAUACUACUAUGGGCCAAGUAGUGUAAAAUAGUUGUUAUGGAGUCAUAACUGUUCCUGUUGUGAAUCAGAACUAUUUUUGUCAGAUUAUAAACUUGUGUUUAUUUAGGAGAAAUAGAAUCAUCAACUACAAACAAAAGGUUGCAUAGUAUACUUAUAUCUCUAAUCUUGCUAUUAAGAGGAGCUUAAUUAAAUAAAGUGCUGUGUGAUUUAUUGAAAUAGCCCAAAUAACUCCGUGCAGCUUCCUCUUGAAAUUCCAAAACCACACUGUGCUAAUGCAGCUAAUGCAAAGUCCAUCAUUAUGCCACCUGUUUGUGAUCUGUAAGGCCUAUUAAGCCUAUUUAUCAUUCAGCUGGUAAGGAGCAGAGAUGAAAGAAUGACAUUAGAAUCAUUUUCACAGAGUAAAAUGGUAUUGGAUUGCAUAAAUCAAUGCUAGUAGUCCUUUUCAGUCAAAGAGGCAGCAAUUGAUUGUGUAUCUCCAAAAAACAUUGGGAGGUGAGACAAGUACGGUGGCAUUUUUCUCUUUUCUAAGUGAGCAAAAGUGCCACUUGAUUUCUGUAUCUUUUUCCUCAGAAUUUAUGCAAGGCCACCUGUGAUCAGUGUGAAAAUAACAAUGUCUUUAGAAAUGUCUCUUUCUGUGUUAGUCGGUUGGUUCAAAUGCCAGCGCUUUUCCUGAUACGGGAAUCCUCCAGGUCUGAAUGUGCUAUGAAAAGUAGCAUCAGAGAAGCAUGAAAUGAUUAGGAAGAGCCAAUUUAAGUUUCAGAAAAGUUUGUUCUUAAACACCACAAAACUCAAAGAUGAAGAGAGCAGAUUGAAUUUUUGUUUUAGUCCAUGUUUCCAUUAAAAUGACUUCAGUGAACUGAAGUUCAUUUUGCCAGGCUGAGAUGUUGUUUCCCUCGGUGUUUGUUACCUCUCUGUGUUCAGCAAAUUGGCACCAAACGAGUGGGCAGCCACCUCAGUUUUCUGUUACAUCAGUGAUGGUCAGCAGAGUUGCAUUAGAGCUGAGAUUUGUAGGCAUCCUGGGAAGAUUUUUGGUCCUUGUACCCAAAUCAGCGGUCUCUGCUGAGCUUUGAAGGCAUUUGCUGUAACUUUGCUGUUGAUGCAGAUGCCAGCAUGGCUAGCUUGCUGUGAUGGAGUUCCCGUCACUGUAGUGAGAUAGACAGGAAGUUUAAUGCUCUGUUUUUGUUUAAAUAACAGGAAUUCCGCUAUAAUACUGGAUGAGGAGUAAUCCUUGCUCCUACUUAAGCUGACCCUGUUAGUUUUGCCAGUUAGUUCUUGGGGGGAAACAAACAAACAAAUAUAAAGACUUAACGGGAUUUCUCACCAGUUCUUUGUAUGAAGGGCAGCAUGGCAAACUGCUCAGUUAUUUUUGGCAGUUAGCAUAACUCUGCUUUUUAAAAGCUUGUUGUAGUAACUAAGGCUCUGUGAGAGUACUUGGUUUUUCCACACACCUCUCUGUUUAAUGUUUUCAUAUUGUUGCUUUUAUUAUAAACUCUCCAGGGAAUAUAUCUCUGCCAAACCAGUUUAUAUCCUUGGCAUACUUUCUGCCUGUAUGGUUCUUGCCAGAUCCAUGCGCUCUUCUCUGACAACCAUCACAGUUUAAGAAAGGUGUGUGAGUUUCUUUCUAGUAUUCCAAUGCGUUUUACCAUUUUGACACUUGAAAGAGGGAAGAAAAAAACAAGAAAGAAAGAAAAGCAGAGGUUGGUGAUCUGAUUAAAGGUCUUAAGCAUAUUAUAGCUAAUUCUUGUUUUGGCACCACCAGAAGCAGAGAUUUGAACCAUGCUGUCAUCCUUGCUCAUCCCAGGGCACUGCGGGUAGGGACGUUGCCAGCCACAUUCCCCAGCAGUGAUGACCCAGCACGCUGCUUGUCACACCCUGAUAUUCCACAUCCAUUUCCCCCCUGUUUUUGGCUGACAGUGAGCUGCUUUUGGAAAGACUGAGAAGUUUAAUACUGGCUACUGCCCCUUGCUGUGAUAUCGUAUGUAAGCAGAGAACUGUUGUGAAUGAUUUCAGUCUUUCAGAAGAAACACCUGACCAUAGAAAGCCUCUUUUAGUAAGUGCUGCACGUCUGUAUGGAAUGAACACCCAUGAGGUAUGGACUUGGACGUUUUAAUGGUGAAUAUUGAUACAGUGGGACUGUCUGAACUAUUGGAGGUAUUGAUCAUGCUUAAACAGUCAGGCUACUUUUCUGUCAUGGGGAUUAAUACACAGUGAAGGACUCCAGGAAUUUUUGAUCAGUUACGCUGUAGCUGUUGUAAGAUAACAGUACCACAGUCCUGUCAGGUCUACAAUAUAUCCUUCUAACCACUGGGGCUCUUUAGUUUCCAAAGAGAAGGAUUAAUGGGGGGAAAGAUAAAGGUUGCUUGUGUCUAGUUUAGUGCAAUCACAAUUAGCUGCAUCAAAUCUUCCACACACCAAGACACACGGGAAAUGUAUGAUGCCAAGGGGUAGCAUCCAUAGACUGUAUCUUUUUUUUCUUUGUCAGUAAUCGAAUUUAAUGUGUUGUAUUGUCAUUUGAUGGUGAAUGGGUAGUGAUCAUAUCCUGACAGAGUAGAAGAGAAGCUAAGUUCAUUGGGCUGCAUCUUGUUUGCACUUGACAGGGAUCAUACCAAAUAUCAUUGCUUCUUCCAGACAGAGAUGACAGAAUUGUGCAACUAGGAAAGAUGUAUGUUUUCUAAAAUACAAAUGCUUAAGGUUAACAGCAGAUUUCACCACUGACCGACCCAUCGCUUUUGGAUGUGUCAACUUUAAGAGAGAGAGGCUGGGACAGUAAAGCUGACAAGGAGGGGUGGUAUCUCCUGCACUCUCCCUUCUCAGUAGGCACUCCCCAACUGCCAGUUGUUAUUUAGAAAAUAAAUUUGUGAAUGUAAUCCCUGGAGGAAAGAAAAAGGAAGUGGGGGAGGAGCAAACCCAUGUUAAGCUUCACAUAAUUAUACUUACAAACAUUUCAAGGCAAAUUUUAACCAGAUGUCCUCUUUGAGGACAGUAACAGAUGUUUCUCUUUGGACUACAAAGUGACCAUUAAAUGAAGUACGUUAGCAUUUAAUGGAUCUUUUUGCUAACAUAUCUACUACCGUUAGCUGGACUGAUCCUGUACUGCUAGAGGAGGACAAGCUGUUUCACUCCUAAAACGGACCAAAUCAGUACUGAGUACAGCAUCAGGAGGAUGAUAUAAUUAUGCUAAAGCAAUCAAUAUACCUGAUGUCAGACUAACACAAUGUUCUGAGCUGAGAAAGAAAUGAUUUCCUUGACUGUGUUGUUUAUAAAUCUCUAUCUCAGAUGUGACAAAUAAUUUUUUCUAAUUUUUUUCAAAGUGCAAGCUGCAUAACCCUGGAGUUGUAUCAAACAUGUCUGAAGUACUCUUUUCCUCUUCAUCCAGCUGUUAAAUGCAACUGAUAGAUUAUUCAAGCACCCCUCUUGCAAAUGCUUUUCUUCUGACUUGCUCUAGAAAUUGUAUGGCUGAAAGUGGGAGAAGUAUUGCUUCAGGCUGUGAUCCAGCAGAGAGCUUCCUACUGAACAUCACCCUGAGAUGAGGAAUAGGUGGUUCUACAGGGAGAGCUAAAGAAAUCUGUUUUCUUGUUUUCAUAGCAGGAAAUUCAGUUCUCUCAGAUACUCUAGUUAACUAGAGUUUUCAGCAUUUGUUUUUCUGUAACUCCUUCUAAAACUAUAGACAUUGAAGAGAACCAUAAAUGUAUGCCAUCUAAAUCUUUAUUUCAGAUUCAUAGUAACAUGAGAAAACUAUGUUGAAUUAUCAGUGGUGUGACAGAUCUUGUCUGGUAUUUCACCUUCCAUGGCCACUUUUACAUGACACGUAUUUUAAUCUCUAAGUACUUCUGUAUUAUAGGUUAUAUAGGCAGUGUUACACUGAAACCAGUUCUUAUACAUGACCUCAUGACAACAGAGCACUCUUCCAUAU